rnacentral:rRNA from 1 species
GCAGGCGCGAAACCUUUACACUGCACGACAGUGCGAUAGGGGGAUCCCAAGUGCACAGGCAUAGCGCCUGUGCUUUUCGGUACCCUAAGGCGGUACCAGAAUAAGGGCUGGGCAAGACCGGUGCCAGCCGCCGCGGUAAUACCGGCAGCCCAAGUGAUGGCCGAUCUUAUUGGGCCUAAAGCGUCCGUAGCUGGCCGUACAAGUCCAUCGGGAAAUCCACCUGCUCAACAGGUGGGCGCCCGGUAGAAACUGUGCGGCUUGGGACCGGAAGGCGCGACGGGUACGUCCGGGGUAGGAGUGAAAUCCCGUAAUCCUGGACGGACCGCCGAUGGCGAAAGCACGUCGCGAGAACGGAUCCGACAGUGAGGGACGGAAGCCAGGGUCUCGAACCGGAUUAGAUACCCGGGUAGUCCUGGCCGUAAACAAUGUCUGCUAGGUGUGGCUCCCACUACGAGUGGGUGCUGUGCCGUAGGGAAGCCGCUAAGCAGACCGCCUGGGAAGUACGUCCGCAAGGAUGAAACUUAAAGGAAUUGGCGGGGGAGCACUACAACCGGAGGAGCCUGCGGUUUAAUUGGAUUCAACGCCGG